rnacentral:rRNA from 1 species
GACGAACGCUGGCGGCGUGCCUAAUACAUGCAAGUCGAACGCUGAAGGAGGAGCUUGCUCUUCUGGAUGAGUUGCGAACGGGUGAGUAACGCGUAGGUAACCUGCCUGGUAGCGGGGGAUAACUAUUGGAAACGAUAGCUAAUACCGCAUAAUAGUAGAUGUUGCAUGAUAUUUACUUAAAAGGUGCAAUUGCACCACUACCAGAUGGACCUGCGUUGUAUUAGCUAGUUGGUGGGGUAACGGCUCACCAAGGCGACGAUACAUAGCCGACCUGAGAGGGUGAUCGGCCACACUGGGACUGAGACACGGCCCAGACUCCUACGGGAGGCAGCAGUAGGGAAUCUUCGGCAAUGGACGAAAGUCUGACCGAGCAACGCCGCGUGAGUGAAGAAGGUUUUCGGAUCGUAAAGCUCUGUUGUAAGAGAAGAACGAGUGUGAGAGAGGAAAGUUCACACUGUGACGGUAUCUUACCAGAAAGGGACGGCUAACUACGUG